rnacentral:rRNA from 1 species
ACGUAGGGCGCAAGCGUUGUCCGGAAUUAUUGGGCGUAAAGAGCUCGUAGGCGGUUUGUCGCGUCUGCUGUGAAAGCCCGGGGCUCAACCCCGGGUCUGCAGUGGGUACGGGCAGACUAGAGUGCAGUAGGGGAGACUGGAAUUCCUGGUGGUAGCGGUGGAAUGCGCAGAUAUCAGGAGGAACACCGAUGGCGAAGGCAGGUCUGCUGGGCUCGUUACUGACGCUGAGGAGCGAAGGCAUAGGGGAGCGGAACAGGAUUGAGAUACCCGCCGUAGUCC